rnacentral:rRNA from 1 species
GAACGCUAGCUACAGGCUUAACACAUGCAAGUCGAGGGGCAGCAUGGUCUUAGCUUGCUAAGGCCGAUGGCGACCGGCGCACGGGUGAGUAACACGUAUCCAACCUGCCGUCUACUCUUGGACAGCCUUCUGAAAGGAAGAUUAAUACAAGAUGGCAUCAUGAGUCCACAUGUUCACAUGAUUAAAGGUAUUCCGGUAGACGAUGGGGAUGCGUUCCAUUAGAUAGUAGGCGGGGUAACGGCCCACCUAGUCUUCGAUGGAUAGGGGUUCUGAGAGGAAGGUCCCCCACAUUGGAACUGAGACACGGUCCAAACUCCUACGGGAGGCAGCAGUGAGGAAUAUUGGUCAAUGGGCGAGAGCCUGAACCAGCCAAGUAGCGUGAAGGAUGACUGCCCUAUGGGUUGUAAACUUCUUUUAUAAAGGAAUAAAGUCGGGUAUGCAUACCCGUUUGCAUGUACUUUAUGAAUAAGGAUCGGCUAACUCCGUGCCAGCAGCCGCGGUAAUACGGAGGAUCCGAGCGUUAUCCGGAUUUAUUGGGUUUAAAGGGAGCGUAGAUGGAUGUUUAAGUCAGUUGUGAAAGUUUGCGGCUCAACCGUAAAAUUGCAGUUGAUACUGGAUAUCUUGAGUGCAGUUGAGGCAGGCGGAAUUCGUGGUGUAGCGGUGAAAUGCUUAGAUAUCACGAAGAACUCCGAUUGCGAAGGCAGCCUGCUAAGCUGCAACUGACAUUGAGGCUCGAAAGUGUGGGUAUCAAACAGGAUUAGAUACCCUGGUAGUCCACACGGUAAACGAUGAAUACUCGCUGUUUGCGAUAUACAGCAAGCGGCCAAGCGAAAGCGUUAAGUAUUCCACCUGGGGAGUACGCCGGCAACGGUGAAACUCAAAGGAAUUGACGGGGGCCCGCACAAGCGGAGGAACAUGUGGUUUAAUUCGAUGAUACGCGAGGAACCUUACCCGGGCUUAAAUUGCAGAUGAAUUACGGUGAAAGCCGUAAGCCGCAAGGCAUCUGUGAAGGUGCUGCAUGGUUGUCGUCAGCUCGUGCCGUGAGGUGUCGGCUUAAGUGCCAUAACGAGCGCAACCCUUGUUGUCAGUUACUAACAGGUCAUGCUGAGGACUCUGACAAGACUGCCAUCGUAAGAUGUGAGGAAGGUGGGGAUGACGUCAAAUCAGCACGGCCCUUACGUCCGGGGCUACACACGUGUUACAAUGGGGGGUACAGAGGGCCGCUACCACGCGAGUGGAUGCCAAUCCCAAAAACCUCUCUCAGUUCGGACUGGAGUCUGCAACCCGACUCCACGAAGCUGGAUUCGCUAGUAAUCGCGCAUCAGCCACGGCGCGGUGAAUACGUUCCCGGGCCUUGUACACACCGCCCGUCAAGCCAUGGGAGCCGGGGGUACCUGAAGUGCGUAACCGCGAGGAGCGCCCUAGGGUAAAACUGGUGACA